CAUGCUUAAGCAACUGGGGAAUUCAGACUAGCUGGGAUCAAACUAUGGCCCCACCCUUAGCAGUCAUGUGACCUUGGGGAGGUUGCUUACCUUCUCCGUCUCAACAACUUCUGCAAAAUCUGUAACAUGAGAUUGUUUCUGAGGGUUAAAUGAGCAUAGCACAGUGGGGACACUGUCAGGCACACACUACUUGCCAGAUGUCGAGUAUUCAUCUUUAUUGAAAUAGGACUGUGGUAAGCCACUUUAUGGCUCUCGAUUUUGUAUGAGAAAAUCAUGCUUAGUGCCUUGUUAGUAAAAGAAAGAAAACCUGAAAGUCCCUGCCACGGAAGGAAGAAAUAGCGGGGAGAAAAGGGAGUUGGUAAGUUUCAGCAUUUCAGAGCUUGGAGGGGCAAGUUAGGUUUCUAUUUUAUGGAGAAGGAGGUGGAGGCAGGAUGGGUCCUAAGGUGUCAUUCAAAACACACAGCCAUAACUCUUUAUUGAGAGUAGAGCUAGGGCCCCAGGGAUUGCUGUGGUCAAGUUGCGGACAAAAAUGACCACUCGUUGGAAGACAGGAG
rnacentral:lncRNA from 10 species